GUGCUUGCUUCAGCACACAUAUACUAAAAUUGGAACGAUACAAAGAAGAUUAGCAUGGCCCCUGUGCAAGGAAGACAUGCAAAUUUGUGAAGCGUUCCAUAUUUUG
rnacentral:snRNA from 1 species